rnacentral:lncRNA from 1 species
UUAGGGUUUAGGGUUUAGGAUUUAGGGUUUAGGGUUUAGAAAUGAAAGUUUAGGGUUUAGGGUUUAGAGUUGAUGUUUUAGGGUUUAAGGUUAAUUUUUUAGGGUUUAGGGUUUAGAAUUUACUUUUUAGGGUUUAGGGUUUAGUGUUGGUAGUUUAGGGUUUAGUGUUGAUGGUUUAGGGUUUAGGGUUUAGAGUUGAUGUUUUAGGGUUUGGAGUUGAAGGUUUUGGGUUUAGAGUGAUGUUUCGGGUUUAGGGUUUAGAGUUGAUGUUUUAGGGUUUAAGGUUCGUAUUUAAAAAAAAUAGGGUUUAUGAUUGAUGGUUUAGGGUUUAAAAUUGAGUUUUAGGGUUUAGGGUUUGAAUUUCGAAAUAGUAUAACUCGAAAAAAAUAAUAAAAAAUAUUUUUUUGAUAUUUAUUUAUUUAAAUAUUUAUUUAUUAUAUAUAUAAAGAACAAGAGCAUAAGAGUCUUUUUCCACUUAAUGAAGAAGGUAUAUUUGAAAAUGUC